AAAAAAGCCCCGCGGAGCUCCGUGCCCGCCUCGAUGUCCGCAUUCCAGCUCAUGUUGCGCAGAUAAAAUUCAAACUUGAGGUUUUCAAUGACCAUUCUGUUACUGUAACCACCAUGGAUGCGAACGCUGUGGUGAUAAAGGCUUGCUAUUUUCUCCUACUGGAUUCCUCAAAUCCAAGAGCUACUCAGCAGUUUCCAAGGCAACCACCUGUGGAAUAAUUAAAAAGGAUGAAGUGUUAGUGUGCCAGAUGAACGGAAUUCUUGCCUGGAGAGAGCACUUCAUUUUCAGCUGUUCUGAAGAAUCAAAUGUGAUUCUGCCAGCACAGUUCAGGUAGUACAACUAAAGAAUACUGAUUUUAUUAUCUGGAGUUACUGAAAGUUUGUGUAAGAGCAGCAAUCCCAGUAUGUCCAUGCGGUAUUCACUUAAAAUGGUCAUAGAUUCUUUAGUGUUAAUCCUUUAUAUAUAUACUUGAACAAAAUUCAGGAGCAGGAUAAUGGAAGAGCAAUGUGGGUGAACAGUGUUUCAUGUAAGUAAAACACUUAGAGUUUUUGCUGUCUUUACGCACAGAUGAUUUUAAGCUGGUAAGGACUGAAAUGGAACAUUAGUGGAAGCAUAAAUAUAGGAAGUGGAGACUUCAUGCCAAGUGCACUGAGAUUUCUUUGGCGUUCAGAAGAGUGAUGGAUAUAAAAGGAAUACAGGAGUGGGUAUUCACAGCAGAAUGACAGAAUCAAGGCUGUUUCUUUAUCCCAUAGCUUACUAGAGAGUGUGCAGUGAUUAAGUUGAUUUUGGAUCUCUGCUCUGGUGAAGCAGUAGCUAAAACCACUUUUAAGACAGCAGAUUGAAGAGGUGAAAUUUCAUAGUGGUGGACCAAAAGGUAAGGAAAAGAGCUCUAUUAGAAUAACAAAAACCAAAAAUGCCAAAUUCAGCUCUGAAAGUUUAAAACAUUACUACAAAAGUUUAUGGAGAGCUCCUAGGCUCUAGAUAGAACUAGAAACAUUAUUUAAGUAUAAGAUGUUGCUGGACCUAUCUGCUUAUUAUAUCUUCCUUCUCUGCCAGUCAUUCAAACACACUUGAAUAGAAAAAUAUUAUUCAUUUCUGACAAUGAAGUUAAAUGGAGAAAGCCACAUUCACGUUCUUCUCAUAGUCCAAAUAACUACUCAGUUAAGUUUGGUUACCUAGUUUAAUGCUUUUGUAUAGUUAGUUUUGGGUGUGAUGCUUUUGUGUCAUUUAUUUUAAGAAAAAAAAAAUUCUAAAUUUUGAAGUAGAAAUAUUUGGGAUACCAUCUGGACUUUACAUAAUAAAUUUUUACUGCCAAAAUGUUUGUGGGAUUCUGUUCGGAUGUGGAUGGGAUUUCACAUUCCAUGCCUUUUACAGCACAAGAGGAUCAUUGUUUUUUAGAUAUGGUGGGUCCAAGAAGAAAUAGAAAUUGCUUGAUGGCAGUUUUGUGAUUUGAUGGAAUACAUAUAGAAGCCCCCGUUCAUCUAGUAACUAUUGUUACCUCUUAGAGCUGUUAAGAAUCUCAAAAGCUAAUGUUUGUAGGUACAGUCUGAGUGAAACGGUCAUUUUAAACCCUAAUACUUACUUUGCAUUUCUAGUUUUACUGUCGUCACAGCUCAACUAUUAGAUUGUUUAUUUUGAAGUAAUGCUUCAGGCUGUCCAGUUUAAUCAGUAUACAGCUGAGGGAAGCUUUUCUUUUUAAGGAAAAACUACUGUUUUUUCCAUAUGAAAAGAUGCUGGUGAAGUAUCUGCAGCAGGCAUGGAGAAUAUAAUAUAAAGUUGACACACAGAGCAGGUAGAGGAAAGUAUGUGUGUAUGUAUGUACAUGUGGAUCCAAAUCCUUUGCUUUCUAAGAGACAUGAGUAACCCUGAAAGAUAAUGUGUAUACUUGUGGAAGAGUGUCCAGAUGUAUUUAUGUAUGUAAGACUAUAACAUGAUAGCUACGUAGCAACUGAUUGAAGUAAGUCAGCAGUCCCAGGGGUAUACAGAGAAAAGCUUCAUCCUGGACACACUUUGAAAGCAUCUUCAACAUAUCCAAGUACCUCAGUUUUUCUUUUUCCCCUCAAAUAAUGUGGGUGAGAUUAUUCUCAUGAAACUUAAACCUUCCAGGUAGUGUUAAAGCUGAUUGUGGAAAGCAGGUAGGGAACUUCAGGGAGCUGCUCAGCCUACGCCUUUGAAAAGAAUGAUGACUUCUGGAGGCACAUACCUCGUACUGUUGAUUCAGCCCACUAAUUAAGCCUAGAUGUUUGAUACUGAUGGGUGUGUUUAUAUGUGAAACUCAUGUACACACACUUUUCUUUCUCCACGUUUCAUUCCUAAUCCAGAAAUAUAUUUAGUGGAUGUGAACUUCAUUACUGAUACAACCCAGUUGUUUCCAACUCAGCUGACUUACCUUAGCAGUUUUUCCAGACUUUGAGCACUGUGGUUCAAUAUCAAGGAUACUUGAGAGUUUGUUGGUGUAGCAUGCAUUUUUUCUUUUUAAUAGAAAAAAAUUUAGACAGUUGGACUGUAUAGAAGGAAACAAAGUGGCUGGGCAGAACUUAAUUCUGAUCUGUGAAUAUAGCUUAUUUUCUACUGAUUUAUCACUGAGAUUUUAUGUGAUGGAAAGGGAAUAGAAACUUAGAAGCAUUGAUUUGUUCACUAAUUCUGAUUUCCUUAAGUGAUUAUAUAUGGCAACAUAGACUUUGUUUCUGCAACAUAGGCUAUUAAGAAUUACUGCUAUUUGCAGCUAGAACAAGUAAAACUCUUCCUGUACUUCUCUUUCUGUAAUGAAAGAAAUGUUGGUCUCCAUGUUGGGGUAAUUUGAGCUCCUUUUGAGAGAAGAAAUUGGAAUUAGUGAUAUAGUAAUGCUCUUAACAAUUAUUUAUCUGGUUAUUAUAGUUCUCCCUCUAAAGUUUCUGUGCUGCUGGUACAACUGUAGUGAAGGAGUCUGCUAGAGUGUGGUUUUCUAGAAGAGUGACUGAAAUACUUGUUGGUUUUUGUCAUGUAAAUAGUACUGCUUCCUAGAAAGAUAACAUUUUCCUCUUGUUGCUGGGAAAUCAAGGUAAUUUUUUGGGUUGGGGGUUUUCAAAGGGAAUUUUUCCUUCUGGCAAGAGGAGUCAGCAGUAAAAAUUUAGAGGUCAUAAGGAAAAAGGAGGGUUAAGCAGCAAACACCUUCCAUUUCUUGGAAGAGAGAGCUCUGGUAAGGAGUUGACCUUUUUGCCUAGGCUUUAUCUGGGACACCUAGUCUCUACAUAUCUUAAAAUACCAGUAGAUAUAUCAGGCUGGUCAAGUACAUCAGGCAUUUUGUUAAAAUGUUGUAGAAAUGAUGUUCAACAGUGGACUUUUGGGAGCAUCAGUCAUGAGGAUUCUAUCUAAACUCCUGUAUCUCAAGGUUUUUUGGACCAUCUGUUCCUCUCUGGCUUCUCAGAGAUGAGAGGGGAAAAUGAUGAAGGACGUUUCCCAGAUGUGUCAAUAUAAGGCAAUUUAAAACUUCUGAAUUGUGUAUUUAAUGGAGAGAUGGAACAGAGCUUUAAAUUGUGAACAUCUGCGUAUUUGCAGUGGGAUAGGAAGAGAUGAAAAUCUGUCAGUUAUUCAGGACGUUUUACCUAUGCAAGGUAAAAUGGUUUUUGGAGAGGUAAUAAGUAUGAGACUAAAAAGAGCAGCAGUUUUCAUGCACCCAUCUAGAGCUCCAUUUAUUCUCCAACAAUAGUAUAAAUAACUGAGUAAAUAAGGAGUGCAGGAACAGAACAGAACAUGAUACUCCUUGUGCGCACUCUUCGGUCUUCAGACAUUUGUAGUGCAAGGACUUACUGAGCUGGAUAACUUUCUUAGCUUACAGGAUUUGUCUACUGAAUUUGUUUAAUCUUCAAGCCAUAAGAAGUUUUAGCACAUGUAAUACUUUGUGGUUCAACAGAUUAAUGAACAUGACAACCCAGUAAAUGAAGGAUCAUAUGUUUGAACCUGAAUUCCAUUUGGUGUCUCUUUCUUGUACUGAAAUGGAGGUAAAUGACUGGCCCCUAUUUACUUUCUCCACGAUAAUCAUAAUUUUUUCUAGACCUCAGCUUGCCCUAAGACUCAGUUUAAAGCCUGUUGACUUACCUUUUUUAUCCACGUAGCCUACUUCAAACUUGUUCUCACAGAUAUUUUGAAUUUCACAACUGAAUUUCGUUGACGUAUUUUAAUGUCCAGUCAGGUACAUCUUCACAGUGGUUUGUUUGUUUUCAGUUUUUCUUGUUUACUGUUCCUGCUACCCUGAAUAACUGAGUAUCAUCAGCACUCUGUUAGCAGUGUAUACAAAAUUGUGCUGAAGAAGGGAAGUUAAGCAACUGAAUGAAUAUUCACAGUUCUGAAUGUAUGCUGCUUUUAGAUGAUUUAAGUGUAGGAAGUUACCUUAGCAGCAGAGCUAUUAGUUGUUCUUGUUUUCUAAUGUUAAUUGAGCAAUUGCCUAAUACAGUAACAGGAAAACAAGAGUGCCCAUAAUGGCUCAAAUUAAAAGGACACGUAAACUAAAAUCACUUUCCUGAGUGGCAUUGGGCAGCUGCACCUUAGGGAAGUGUGCAGAAAGAGGGAGUGCAGCUCAGCUUCCAAGGGCAGAGUCCAGCAUCCUUCCAGCAACCUGCUGGAGCCUUGAGCUGUGACAAUGACAUUGUAGCUUCCAUGCAUUUCUCUAAUAUGAACUCACGUUGUCUUCCUUGAGGUCUUAGAGUUGUGAGGACUGUUGGUUUUGCAUGCAGCUCAUCUCCAUUAGUUUGUGCAGUGCCCUUGCCUCUUGCCCAAGUGGUUAUCUCCAUGUACCCCAUAUGAUUUCCCUUCAGCCAUUUCUUUUUCAGGCUGAGGAAUCUUGCUGAGUAUCACCUUUCCUCCUAAGGAAGCUGCUCCUGACUCUCAUCGAUGCUGCUCGGUGUACUGGUGCCACCCUGUUUCUAAUAUGGGAGGGGCAAAGCAGUGUGGAGAGCUCAGGGUACAAACAUGGAGCAGAUGGGUUAGCAUCAAAUUGCUGCUUCCGUACUUUGUCUCAGUUGUCUGCCUAGUUGUUCCUGAAAUCCUUCCUAGUCACACUGUAUAACAUGCUGGAAAAAAAAGAGCUGAGAAUAACACUUUGACUUACCUAGUGUUUUCUCUUCAGUAGACUUGUGUUCUCACAUUUAAUCCUUUUCGGUAUAAUUUGUGGUUGCAUAUUAAAUGACAAAGAUCUAAAUACAGAUCUGUACAGGAGUCCAUUCUGUGUGUGUGUGGAAAGAAACAUUUUCUUAACAUGUUAAUUAACUGUCAGUGAGACCUUUCUCCUUAUUGUACUGUGGUUGAGUUUUCAUCAGUACUUUAGCGAAGUGGGUAAUUUUUGUGGUCUCAAUACACAGUUAAUCAGAGCUCCUUCAGUAGACUUCAUUUGUGUAAGGUGUGAUCUCUGUGUUGCAGCACAUCAGUAGACAGUUCUCGUAUCUCAGUUAAAUGCAUGUCCUCCUGGCUAUUUGCUACUGCCAGAUUCUGUCUUAAGUUCUCUUCUGACCUGAGAUGAUGCUGGUUCUUUGUGUGCUGUGAAGGCAGGCUGCAGUGCUGGAAGUUUCUGGAGUGUUCCCCUUUUUAGCUACAUAACUAGAAGUAGAGAAUACUGCUGUUCCAAGUACAGAGCUUGAAUAUGUUGUAAUCACUAGUAGGCUCACUCUUUGGCAGAGAAUGUUUUCAGCAAGAUCCUGUAUGCAUCUUGCAGAUUGCAUCAAGUCCUGCUUUGUUGAGGGUUUUAAGAGCUGUUUGAAGAAGUGGUAAUUAACAGUCUCUUAAUGUAGUGUUUACAUCACAUUGAUAAUACUGGGAAUUUAUGUCUCUGCAAUCCUCCAAUUAAGCCACAUGAAUCUCAAGAGGCAGUGUUAGUCACUGGCAACUGUCAGUCAUCUUCAUGGGACCUUGGCUCGUCUUCUGCCUUGGGCUAAGAACUGUGUGUUGGGACUCACUGUAGCUCCUCCCUCAUGCUGGGCAUCAUGUGUCUCCCCUUCAUUACUGUUCUUACUUUUGUUGGACGAGAAGGGUGUCUGAGCUUCAUGAACUUUCACACAUGUUGGGAUAGUCAAGUGAGUCAAUGUGAUGCAGUACCUCUUGGAAAGAUUUUGUAUGUGGGAUUGUGUCUCUAGUCCUGCUGGCAUAUGUUACACCAUCCAGCAUAGCAGGAGACUAAAGUUAAACAAGGAAUGAUCCCAAGAAGUCCUUUCCAACCCCUGUGAUUCUGUGGAUCCUGCCUCCAGCCACAGAAGUUCAGAGACAGUUUGGCUUAUCCUCCUGUAAGCAUCUCCAUGGGGGUCAGAUGUGUUGUGAUCUAGACUCUGCUGGGUCAGUCACUCUACAGCAGCUAUACUAGGGUGCUGACCACCCAGGAUGCAUAUACGUCCAUUGCAGACAUCUGAAAUCAGGUGUAUGGGAUCCCAUUUUGCUCCUUUGAACUGAUGGGUAGUCAUCUGUCAUCAUGGUGAUCAAGCCUGCUGUUACUGAUUGCUGGGGCAUGCAACUCAGCACCACGCAGACACUCGCUGUCCUCCUCGGGUGGGAUGGGGGAGUGAAUUGAAAAGGUAAAAGUAUGAGAACUUGUGGGUUAUGUUUACUGGGUAGAGCACAAACUGAAUGCGAGGAAAGGGAAACAAGGAAUUCACUCUCCACUUCCUGUCAGCAGGCAGUUGUUCAGCUACCAGAGAAGCAGGGGUCAUCGCAAAUACCCAUUUCUUAGGAAGACAAAUGCCGUCAUUCUCAACAUCCCCCUUCCUCUUUCUUCAUCCCAGCUUUUAUUGCCAAGCAGGAUACUGUACAGUAUGGAAUAUGCUUUUUAACCAGUUUGAGUCAGCUGUUGUGAUGCACUCCAGCUCUUUGUGCACACCCCUCUUUGUGCUUACUAGUGGGACUGUGUGAGAAGCUGUGAAGUCCUUGACUCUGUAUAAAUAUUGCCUAGCAACAACUAAAAAUGUUGGUAUGUUAUCCCCAUUAUUUUCAUUAAAAAAAUCCACAUCAGAGCAUCAUACAAACUUGUAAAAAGAUGAUUGACUUCAUCCCAUGACACAACGCAAAAAAGGCUCAUGGUGUCUCUUGGUGAAAGUAUGGCUUUCUGGGUGACCUGAGAAAUAAAGGGAGAGUAGAAUUUAAGAUGAAAUGUAGACAUCUGUAAAUUGGUAAAUCACUGUAAUGGCAUUUACAGUACUGUUGUAAAUAAAAUGGGACAGUUUGGCAUGAGAUGAGUACUUCAUAGUUUUGUACUUUAUACUUUACAUUUGUACGUGCUUUAUAUCCCAGAGAUGUGGUCAGAUACUGCUUGCAUUUCUACUUUAUGUAAUUCUUUUUUAUAUUCAUGCUGCAAAGUCUCAGGGAGCUCUGGGUAAAGUAGUGGCAAUGCAGUUCUAUAGUUGUAGAAAAUGCAUAAAUGAAUGAGAAAGAACUGUACGUCUUCAACUGGUGGAAUUAAGUGAAUUGAAUCAGUUCUUUAAGGUGAGAUUUAAUUUCUGUAUUACCACUUUCUGGUUGUUCUGUACAGACAGCAGCAAUAGAGCUGUUGAACUGUUCUUGAGGUUUCUAAGAUGAGUUUGUGUCAUCCUGGGGUUAUUCAUACACUACCCCCCCAAAAAAAACCUUUUGAGUUAUUUCCAAAAAGUGUUUUAGCAUAUUAGUUAAAGAUUGUUCAUCCAAAUGACUGAUCUGAGUCGCUGGAAAUUUCGUGGUGUUUUACUUGAAGCGGUACGAGAGUACAUGCUGAAGCUCAUAUUUGUCUCUACCAAAUUAAACACACUGCCAUAUGCUGGUAUAAUGCCAGAACACAGGUUGUGUUAGAAUAUAAAUUAAUGGAACUGCAGUUUGAGAUUUGAAUUCAGUGAAGGGAUCCAUUUUGGAGGAUGUACCACUUGCCUGUGCAAGGUGGUUUGGAGGCUUCUGCCCUGGGAAAGCAUUUGGUGAGCAGACAGUGAAACUGCUGGUCUUCUGCAGUAUUAACAUUGCUUUGUCCAGCUGCUUUCCUGAGCAGUUGAUGGCUUUGUUCCUGGUAUGGAGUUUGGUAUCCAGUGAGCAAGGAGAGUAAAAGGUGAGCUUUUGUAAGCAGCUCUGGAAGCUUGGAUACUGGAUUGGACAUCCAGCUGGUCUGGGCAGCUCUUAGAUGUAGUGGUUCAUUCACGUUGAUCUGUAGAAUUCGAACUUCUUAAUGUAUAGGGUGAUCUUUCAAAGUCCACGAGUGGUCCAGAAGUUGUGGACCAAUGUGCCUAUGUUUAUUAGCUGUGAACUGAUAUUUGAGACGCCUCCUUUUUGUUUGUUGUAGGCAUUUGAUGAAGAGAAACCUUACAUCUCCCAGCUACGUCUCUCCAGGAGGUCAUUUUAGGACAGCUUCAUGACAAGCUUGAAGCAGUAAAUGGAAAGUGCUGUGUUUUGCUCUCAUGCGUAGGAAAGUACUCCUGCUGGUUUUACUGUGUGCUGAUCUGAUAGUGGCUGGUGUGGUGAUCUCAUAUGGAAAUGAUUUACUUCAAUUCAUACACUGUAUUAUAAACAAAGAUAUUUAUUUUAUUGAUAACAUCAGAUGCUUGUAGUCUUGAAAAGACUGGAAAACUGAUGCAAAACAGCACUUUUUCCUCAAUAAAGAUGACCUGACAGGAAUGUAUGGAAACAGUCAAUGUUCUGAAAGUGUUCGACCACAAUUAGCCUGCAAGUAUUUUGGUAAUUGAUUUAAAUUAGUAAGACUUCAAAAAGAGCAUUUUGAGCUCUCUUUCUAUGCCUUUUGUUUAUGUUGUAGGGGAGAACGUUAGGUAAUCUUCACUAAUCUCUGUGCUGCCUUGGAGACUAGAAAAUCUGAGGUUCUUCUGUAGCGUGAUAAUUCUUAAUUCUAUUAACAAGAAUUAACAUUUUAAGAAAAAUGCUGAGCAAUUCACACCUUGUCAUGAAGUUACAAGACUGAGUAACAUUGUUUCAGGAGUAUUCAGCACGAUUUCACCAGAAAUAGUGGUGUUCUGGGCUUCUGGAAAGGAUGUAGUAUUCUGGGAAUUAGGAUUGUAUCAUAAAAGAGUGAAAAUCAAACCUUGUGGAUUAAAUGAGAUACUGUUACAUAAAAACAAUGCAUUUGAGUUUUGCAGAGCAUUAAAGUGGAAUAAAAUGGAAUUAUAAGAAGGAGGUGAAGAACUCUUCCUGGCAUCAGGAGCAGAACUAAUAAGUAUGUCAUCUGUUAAGUACAGCACAUGCUGCAGGAUAUAGCUUGUGUUGUAUGCAUAGCCCAUAGCACAGGCCUGUGUGAAGCUUGCUCUCAUCUCUCAACACUGUUUUUGUUCUCUUCAAGAUCUGUAGUUAUGAACUGGACAAGCCAGGGAGGGACUUUGCUGCUUUUAUCUUGUGGCCCAUCGAACUAUUCAAAACUACCAUAUUCAGUAGAGAGGGCUUUAUUAACUUUUUUUCAAUACAAAAUGGAAGUGAUGACCAGUUACUGCUGCCAGCCUGGAAGUUUCACUUCCAGAAAUGAAAAUGUGCAUUUCAUAAUUCUGAAUAUGGUAAGAAAUUGCCAUGUUCUCAUGCUUUCUUCAGAGCAUACAGAUAGUCUGACACAUGAAUCCAGAAAUUCAGGAUGACUCAAGAGUAAAAAUGAGUGAGUUAUGCUUUAUUCUGUCAAUUCAUUUCAAUUACAGAAUUGAAAGCACAUAAAAUUGAUGCCUUGUCUAGCACUGUAUAAAUUCACUUCCUACAGGAGGUAGAGGGGUAGGUUCAGACGUCUCUGUAGUGAGUGCAGUAGAGUAAUGAGGAAUAGAGCAGGAAUGAUCUGCACUCCUGAACUGUCUGAGCAUCAGGGAAGAUAGAACUGCAUGCACAUGUUUUUGUAGAACAGAUUUUGAAGAUGUAAGGCCUGGUAUAAAAUGAAAAAUAGUAAGGAAUAUUUAACCUUGAAUACCUGCAGGACAUGACUUUCAGUUCCUGAGGAACUUCUACAUCUUCAGUCAGUGCUGCUAGACAGCCCGCUCACAGCACAGAUUCUAGAAUAUCAGUAUAGAUCAAGGGUAGAAUACAGUUCAGUGCUUGGUUUUGGUUCUGAUUCUUUUGUUUCUUAAUUUCAAAGUUUUCAUCUAUUAUUUUUCUUCUUUGUGUCAAAUAAUGACCUUCCUUUCCUGCAGGUUCUGUUUUUGUUCUGUUGUUGCUCAUCUAUCAGGAUGUGUUUGCAACAUUUGUGAGUUCUUUCCUUUUGUCUCUCUUGUAGUGUACUCCAUAUCAGGUGAUACAGACAGGCUCUUUGCACACUGGCACAGCCAGCUGUGUAGGUAGAGUAUGUGUUUUUAAAAGUUUAUUUUCUGUGAUAUUUUACUUACUGUAUUAAUAAUGUGUGAGGGAAUGAUCUCAUCUUGUACUGGGGAAAUUUAGAUUGAAUAUUGGGAAGAAUUUCUUGAUGGUGCCUGUGGCCAAACACUAGAAUGGGCUGUCCAGGGGUGCGUUGGAGUCCCCAUCCUUG
ensembl:lncRNA